UAUAGUAUUUAUAUAUUCUAGAUACAAGUUCUUUAUCAGACAUGUGCUUUGCAAAUAUUUUCUCCUACUCUGUGGAUUUUUUAAAAAUUUCCUUCAUAGUGAUGGAGCAGUUUUUAAUUUUGAUGAAGUCAAAUUUAUCAACUUCUAUGUAUCAUGCUUUGAUAUCUUAUUAAAGAAAUUCUUGCCUAAUCCAAGCUCACAAAGAUUUUCUGCUAUGUUUUCUUCCAGGCACACAUAUUAUAGUUUAUGUUAUAUGUUUAGACCUAUGAUCUAUUUUAAGUCAAUUUUUUAUAUGAUAUGAGGUAUGAAUUGAAGCUCUUUUUUAUUUGUUUGCAUAUGCAUUUGAUUGUUCCAGCACCAUUUGUUGAAAAGACUGUCUUUUCCUCCACUAGAUUGCCUUUGUAACUUUGUCAAAAUUGGUUGUCCAUGUAUGUGUGAGUCUGUUUCUGGACUCUAUUCUGUUCAAUUAGUCUGUUUGUCUUUAUGCCAGCACUGUACUGUUUUGAGUACUGUAGCUUUACAGUACAUCUUAAAAUCAGAUGAUGUUAGCCUCUCACCUUUGUUCAAUCUAAAUAGAAAGUUGUUUUGGCUACUCUUGGUCCUUUGCAUUUCUCUAUAGAUUUUUGAAUCAGCUUGUCAAUUUUUACCAAAAAGCUUGCUGGGAAUUUGAAUCAAGGUUAUUUUGAACUUAUAGAUCAAUUUGAGGAACGUUGACAUCUCAAAAACAUUGCAUCUCAUGUCUCAUGAACAAAGUAUAUCUCUCCAUUUACUUAGGUCUUCUUGAAUUUCUCCCAGCUAUGAGUUUUCAGUGUAACAGGUCUUGUACAUCUUUUGUUAGAUUUAUUCCUAUUUUAUGUUCUUAUGCUCUUGUGAGUUCUUAAAUUUCAUUUCUGAUUAUUUAUUCCUAGUAUGUAGAAAUACAGUUGACUUCUAUAUUAUUGAUUCUAUAAUCUGCAACCUUACCAAACUUAUUCUAGUAGCAUUUUUAUAGAUUCCAUUGGAUUUCUACAUAAUAGUGUUGUUUGCAAAUACAGACAGCUUUGCUUCCUCCUUUCCAAACUAGAUGCCUGCUAUUUAUUUUUCUUGCCAUAUUGCAAUGGCCAAAGCCUUCAGUAAAAUGUUGAAUCAAGUGGUGAGAGCAGAUCCUUGCCUUGUUCCUUAUAUUAGGGAGAAAGCAUGCACCCUUUUACUAUUAAGUAUGAUGUUAGCUGUGGUUCUUCAGAGAUGCCCUUUAUUAGAUUAAGGCAGUUUCCUUCUAUUCCUAGUUCACUUAGAAUUUUUUAUCAGGAUGUUGGAUUUUUGUUAAAUGCUUUUCUGCCUCUAUUGAGAUGAUCAUACAGUUUUCCAAAAUUAUAUCUGUUGAUUUUCAAAUGUUAAACCACCUCUACAGUCUUGAGAUAAGCCCCAUUUCAUCAUGAUGUAAUUACCUUUAUUGUUGUAUUUGAUUUACUGAAAUCAUAUUUAGUUUUUUUAUGUGUUAAAUAUUCCCAGUACACUUGAUAAUUUGGGAUCCCAAUCUGGCUUGUUAUAUUUAGUCUCUGCACUAAGCUCUAGCUACGGUAGCUACAGUUUACUUAAUGACCAAAUAACAACCUUUUCUUCCAUUUUAAAUUUUGUAUGACUUUGGCUGAGGGUCAUUGAAAAAUCAAGGAUGGGAAUACACACACACAGAGGCACACACAUAUACACACACACACACACGCCCCACAGUCUUACAUGGUGAGGUCCUGACUGAAGUUUAUUAGGAAAACUAGGAGAGACAGGCCACAGGACUUUUCAACCUUCCUGAGUAGAGCUAACAGGAGACUAAGCCUACUCAGUGAGUCUCAGUGAAAACUGGGAAAGAGGGAUACGGAGGAGAAGCAGUAAGCACUGCUGCAGUUAUGGCUUGGAAGAAUGCUGUUAAUACUGCUUUAUCCCAUCAUUGCUCCAUUGUCCAGUCUUGACACAGGACUUCCUGCCGCCUUAGACUGAAAUAGAAUCACUGCCCCAAGAUAAAUGUGAUGGGGGAGACGGGGUUUAGGAAGUGAUUAUCAGACACCUGCAUGAUAAGAGAAAAUGGAAAGCAAAAACAAGGAGAUAAGAAGGAAACAAGCCCAGCAUGUUCCCAUGGGUUUUACACAUAGACUCAGAAUAUCAGUAGCAGCAGGGACUGUGGCAACCCAAGGCCACAAUACCCAACUAACAGAUAAGAACACCAAGGCUAGACUAGAGAGGCUGUUCAUCUGAGAGCAUACUGGUUUGUUUUGUUUUGUUUUUCCCUCUUCCUGAUAUAUCCAGAAAAUACUUCCUCCUCCCAGCCCCGUUUAGCAGUAACUUACUUCCUUGGAGAACAAUGCCUCAACCCAUAUUCAGGCCUUAGGUUGGUACAGACAAUGGCACUUUACAUGCGUGGGACUCUCCCCACCCCCUUCAUUCAAUGCUGCCUAAUGAGCACUCACUUCUUGGGUCUCAUCACCAGUCCUGCACUGUAAUUCAGGGAGCCAGCUGCCUCUGCCAACAGUGUAAGUAAUCUCAGGCUAUUUUAUAAUCAGUCCUGAAGAACCCAGAGGGGGCACCAGACUCACCUCAACCUCAGAUUAUGUUUUGGAUCCACUUUUCUUCGUCUUGGAUGAACUUUGUGAACUUUGUGUUUGUGGGAGAGCACAGUGAAGGAUGAACAAGGAAAAGGAAAAAAGGGGUAGGAGAACCAAAGGCAGGACAGCUUUUCCUUCCUCUUUUCUUUCCUGAAUUUUUUUUUCUAGAGAAGUCUUCAAAUAUUCCAGCCUCAACUUUUGAAAAAGAAAAAGCAGAAUGUUUUUAGUAGGAUCUUUUUGUUUCUAGCUUACUGGGAGACAGUGGGAGGAUGGACACUUUUGAGCAGAUAUGCAUCACCCAAUCAAUCAUCUCCAGAAGAACAUCUGAAUCUCUAAGGAAUUGAUCCAAAUUGUUAAUAAUACUUGUGGUUUAAGACAGAUAGAUGAAACACCUUGUAUAAUCACUAUAUUCAAUGUAUUUGACUCAUGUAUGGGACUUAGAAUAUAAAUUUUAAUAAAGUAGAGGCUUAAGCUUGC
rnacentral:lncRNA from 10 species